AACGAACGCUGGCGGCAGGCUUAACACAUGCAAGUCGAACGCGUGCAGCAAUGCACGAGUGGCGCACGGGUGAGUAACGCGUGGAUAUCUGCCUUUUGGUUCGGAAUAACCCCGGGAAACUGGGGCUAAUACCGGAUGGUUCCUACGGGAUAAAGAUUUAUCGCCAAAAGAUGAGUCCGCGUCCGAUUAGCUAGUUGGUGAGGUAAUGGCUCACCAAGGCGACGAUCGGUAGCUGGUCUGAGAGGACGAUCAGCCACACUGGGACUGAGACACGGCCCAGACUCCUACGGGAGGCAGCAGUGGGGAAUAUUGGACAAUGGGGGCAACCCUGGUCCAGCCAUGCCGCGUGAGUGAUGAAGGCCUUCGGGUUGUAAAGCUCUUUUGGCGGGGACGAUGAUGACGGUACCCGCAGAAUAAGCCCCGGCUAACUUCGUG
rnacentral:rRNA from 1 species